rnacentral:rRNA from 1 species
CGGACGGGUGAGUAACACGUGGGUAACCUGCCUGUAAGACUGGGAUAACUCCGGGAAACCGGGGCUAAUACCGGAUGCUUGUUUGAACCGCAUGGUUCAAACAUAAAAGGUGGCUUCGGCUACCACUUACAGAUGGACCCGCGGCGCAUUAGCUAGUUGGUGAGGUAAUGGCUCACCAAGGCGACGAUGCGUAGCCGACCUGAGAGGGUGAUCGGCCACACUGGGACUGAGACACGGCCCAGACUCCUACGGGAGGCAGCAGUAGGGAAUCUUCCGCAAUGGACGAAAGUCUGACGGAGCAACGCCGCGUGAGUGAUGAAGGUUUUCGGAUCGUAAAGCUCUGUUGUUAGGGAAGAACAAGUACCGUUCGAAUAGGGCGGUACCUUGACGGUACCUAACCAGAAAGCCACGGCUAACUACGUGCCAGCAGCCGCGGUAAUACGUAGGUGGCAAGCGUUGUCCGGAAUUAUUGGGCGUAAAGGGCUCGCAGG